ensembl:lncRNA
GUAAGGACUAUGAUGACGAAUUUGAUCUGUGUGCUGUUCAUUUAUGGUCUUGUAGAUGUGCUGGAGAAAGUUUACCUGGGAAAUGUCCACAACUGUGUGUAUUUUUCUGUGAGGGUGUUGGAGAAUCAGUUUGAGUUGGUGUCACACCUGGACAAAUGCACACAUCGACUUCUGUCUGAGAAUGAGAGAGUUGGGACUUUCUCCUCAUCGCUCCGAGAUCGUCUGGCACAAGCUCUCACGUUUUAGGAUGAGAAGCAGCGUUUCUCCUCUGUGCUUCUCACGGCUCGACUUCUGGCCAAGUUUUUGGGCUUCAUCUCUUUCCUGCCUUACCAGACCUCUGAGCUGCCAUCAAGAGACAUACAGGAUGCUGCGAUCACUCUGCGGAGCAAGAGUUCUCCAGUGCUGGAUGUGUGUGCGGUAUUGAGGAGUUCAGUGCAUCGGAGAGGCACCAUUCUGACAGUGCCCUGGAUGGUGGAGUUCCUGUCCAUGCUGGAUUACAUCGGCCCAUUUCUUCCUUGUUACAGGACUGCUCUGUGCCUUCUGCUUCAAAUCUACAAGUGAGUUUAUCACAUACACCGCGUCGGGAAUCACGAUUCU